UACGUAGGGUGCGAGCGUUAUUCGGAAUUACUGGGCGUAAAGCGUGCGCAGGCGGUUUUGUAAGCCAGAUGUGAAAUCCCCGGGCUUAACCUGGGAAUGGCAUUUGGGACUGCAAGGCUUGAGUGCGGCAGAGGAGACUGGAAUUCCUGGUGUAGCAGUGAAAUGCGUAGAUAUCAGGAGGAACACCGAUGGCGAAGGCAGGUCUCUGGGCUGACACUGACGCUCAUGCACGAAAGCGUGGGGAGCAAACAGG
rnacentral:rRNA from 1 species